UACGUAGGCAGCAAGCGUUGUUCGGAGUUACUGGGCGUAAAGGGUGUGUAGGCGGUUGGAUAAGUGUGGUGUGAAAUCUCCCGGCUUAACUGGGAGGGUGCGCUACAAACUGUCUGACUAGAGUGUGGGAUGGGAGAGUGGAAUUCCUGGUGUAGCGGUGAAAUGCGUAGAUAUCAGGAGGAACACCGAUGGCGAAGGCAGGUCUCUGGGCAUUAACUGACGCUGAGGAGCGAAAGCAUGGGGAGCGAACAGG
rnacentral:rRNA from 1 species